CAGCAGUGAGGAAUAUUGGUCAAUGGAGGGAACUCUGAACCAGCCAUCCCGCGUGUAGGAAGACGGCCUUAUCGGGUUGUAAACUACUUUUAUAACUAGGAACGAAACGUACCCUCGUGAGGGUGCCUGACGGUACUGUAGGAAUAAGCACCGGCUAACUCCGUGCCAGCAGCCGCGGUAAUACGGAGGGUGCGAGCGUUAUCCGGAUUUAUGGGUUUAAAGGGUCCGUAGGCGGAUUAAUAAGUCAGUGGUGAAAUCCCAUCGCUUAACGAUGGAACUGCCAUUGAUACUGUUAGUCUUGAAUGAGGGUGCAGUGGUUGGAAUGUGUAGUGUAGCGGUGAAAUGCAUAGAUAUUACACAGAACACCGAUUGCGAAGGCAGAUCACUAACCCUAAAUUGACGCUGAGGGACGAAAGCGUGGGGAGCGAACAGGAUUAGAUACCCCUGGUAG
rnacentral:rRNA from 1 species